rnacentral:rRNA from 1 species
AACGAACGCUGGCGGCAGGCCUAACACAUGCAAGUCGAACGAGAAGCCACCUUCGGGUGGUGGACAGUGGCAGACGGGUGAGUAACGCGUGGGAACGUGCCUUUCGGUUCGGGAUAACCCAGGGAAACUUGGGCUAAUACCGGAUACGCCCUCCGGGGGAAAGAUUCAUCGCCGAAAGAUCGGCCCGCGUCGGAUUAGCUAGUUGGUAGGGUAAUGGCCUACCAAGGCGACGAUCCGUAGCUGGUCUGAGAGGAUGACCAGCCACACUGGGACUGAGACACGGCCCAGACUCCUACGGGAGGCAGCAGUGGGGAAUAUUGGACAAUGGGCGAAAGCCUGAUCCAGCCAUGCCGCGUGGGUGAAGAAGGCCUUAGGGUUGUAAACCCCUUUCAGCGGGGAAGAUAAUGACGGUACCCGCAGAAGAAGUCCCGGCUAACUCCGUGCCAGCCGCCGCGGUAACAC